UCCCAACUACAUUAGACAACUCCCUGAUCUGGUGAGCAUGUCUAGUCUGAUUGUAGGCAUUGACGAAAGACAUGCAAUAUGGAUUCCUCAAUGAGAAUGGGCAAUUGCACAGUAGCAGCACAAGUAACCUGGAAGGGGGACGCAGAGCUACAUGGAUCUCACAGCAUUUUGCAUGAUAUCGGGCGCAAUCUAGCCAUCCGUUGGUGCGCUUUGUUAGGGUGUCAAGAACAUGGGUCCCGUGACCAACAUUAAAACAGAUUUUCCACAACCUUAAAGCUCAGUGCUGCUGAUGCACUCUCUGAUAUUGCCGUGUUGGACUAACUGUUGCACAGCUCAAAAAUCAAAAGCUUCAUGGACUUUAGCCAAAUAGCAAUAGAAUUCACGUGUGCCCCCUUGCUUUUCCCCCCAACUUGCCUAGUGAAGUCUAAGGUGUGGUUGACAUUUUUACCUUCAACUUUCCAUUCUCUCUUUUUUUCUUCACUUUCUCCAAGUAUAUUCUAUAAUGCUUGCCAAAAUUCAGUUUUUUUACCAAAUUUUAGCCAUACCUUGCACAGCAUGAGUGCAUUAACUAUGUGAUUUGGUUGUGGCUACCGAAUUCGAUAAUAAUGUUAUUAUAUGAUCCGAGUGCCAUAUUACAGAUUUAAAUAAUACGAUUUGAGUUUUCUUUUCGCAGAACCAAGGGAAAAUCUCGCACUGAAUUCUGCAAAAAGCCGGAAAAAUAGCAACGCUUUCCCUUUUCUGUGAAGGCAUUGCACAAGUCACGAGAAAUACAACGGUGCAUUCACAGCUUCUGUACUUGCACAUAGUCACAGCUUAGAUGAAGUGAUCCACCGAACAUUAAACAUAUCUUAGCUUCUCUGUUUUCUUUAAAA